AAUAGAUACCCAGGUAGUCCACGCCGUAAACGGUGGGCACUAGGUGUGGGCAACAUUCCACGUUGUCCGUGCCGCAGCUAACGCAUUAAGUGCCCCGCCUGGGGAGUACGGCCGCAAGGCUAAAACUCAAAGGAAUUGACGGGGGGCCCGCACAAGCGGCGGAGCAUGUGGCUUAAUUCGACGCAACGCGAAGAACCUUACCAAGGCUUGACAUACACCGGAAAGCAUCAGAGAUGGUGCCCCCCUUGUGGUCGGUGUACAGGUGGUGCAUGGCUGUCGUCAGCUCGUGUCGUGAGAUGUUGGGUUAAGUCCCGCAACGAGCGCAACCCUUGUCCCGUGUUGCCAGCAACUCUUCGGAGGUUGGGGACUCACGGGAGACCGCCGGGGUCAACUCGGAGGAAGGUGGGGACGACGUCAAGUCAUCAUGCCCCUUAUGUCUUGGGCUGCACACGUGCUACAAUGGCCGGUACAAUGAGCUGCGAUACCGCAAGGUGGAGCGAAUCUCAAAAAGCCGGUCUCAGUUCGGAUUGGGGUC
rnacentral:rRNA from 1 species